UACAGAGGUCUCAAGCGUUGUUCGGAUUCAUUGGGCGUAAAGGGUGCGUAGGUGGCGCUGUAAGUCGGGUGUGAAAUCUCGGAGCUUAACUCCGAAACUGCAUUCGAUACUGCCGUGCUUGAGGACUGGAGAGGAGACUGGAAUUUACGGUGUAGCGGUGAAAUGCGUAGAUAUCGUAAGGAAGACCAGUGGCGAAGGCGGGUCUCUGGACAGUUCCUGACGCUGAGGCACGAAGGCCAGGGGAGCAAACGGG
rnacentral:rRNA from 1 species